CAGCAGCCGCGGGAACACCGGCAGCUCUAGUGGUAGCAAUUUUAUUGGGCCUAAAGCGUCCGUAGCCGGUUUAAUAAGUCUCUGGUGAAAUCCUGCAGCUUAACUGUGGGAAUUGCUGGAGAUACUAUUAGACUUGAGAUCGGGAGAGGUUAGAGGUACUCCCAGGGUAGAGGUGAAAUUCUGUAAUCCUGGGAGGACCGCCUGUUGCGAAGGCGUCUAACUGGAACGAUUCUGACGGUGAGGGACGAAAGUUAGGGGCGCGAACCGGAUUAGAUACCCGGGUAGUCCUAACUGUAAACGAUGCGGACUUGGUGUUGGGGUGGCUUUGAGCUGCUCCAGUGCCGAAGGGAAGCUGUUAAGUCCGCCGCCUGGGAAGUACGGUCGCAAGACUGAAACUUAAGGAAUUGGCGGGGGAGCACCACAACGCGUGGAGCCUGCCGGUUUAAUUGGAUUCAACGCCGGACAUCUCACCAGAGGCGACAGCUGUAUGAUAGCCAGGUUGAUGACUUUGCUUGACUAGCUGAGAAGUGGUGCAUGG
rnacentral:rRNA from 1 species